rnacentral:rRNA from 1 species
AUUGAACGCUGGCGGCAGGCCUAACACAUGCAAGUCGAGCGGAGCGGCGGACGGGUGAGUAAUGCCUCGGAAUCUGCCUGGUAGUGGGGGAUCACGUCCGGAAACGGGCGCUAAUACCGCAUAAUAUCAGAUGAGCCUAGGUGGGCUGAGCUAGUGGGGUGGGUAAAGGCAUACCAAGGCGACGAUCCGUAACUGGUCUGAGAGUAUGAUCAGUCACACUGGAACGUAUACACGGUCCAGAUUCCUACGGGAGGCAGCAGUGGGGAAUAUUGGACAAUGGGCGAAAGCCUGAUCCAGCCAUGCCGCGUGUGUGAAGAAGGUCUUCGGAUUGUAAAGCACUUUAAGUUGGGAGGCGUGACCAACAGAAUAAGCACCGGCUAACUUCGUGCCAGCAGCCGAGGUAAUAC